AUUGAACGCUGGCGGCAGGCCUAACACAUGCAAGUCGAACGAGUGGCGGACGGGUGAGUAAUGUCUGGGAAACUGCCCGAUGGAGGGGGAUAACUACUGGAACCGGUAGCUAAUACCGCAUACCAUCGGAUGUUCCCAGCUGGGAUUAGCUAGUAGGUAGAGUAACGGCUCACCUAGGCGACGAUCCCUUGCUGGUCUGAGAGGAUGACCAGCCACACUGGAACGGAGACACCGUCCAUACGCCUACGGGAGGCAGCAGUGGGGAAUAUUGCACAAUGGGCCCAAGCCUGAUGCAGCCAUGCCGCGUGUAUGAAGAAGGCCUUCGGGUUGUAAAGUACUUUCAUCGAGGAGGCGUUACUCGCAGAAGAAGCACCGGCUAACUCCGUGCCAGCAGCCGCGGUAAUUC
rnacentral:rRNA from 1 species